AAUAAUACAAGCUUCAUAUUACAAGCCAGGGGCCUCGAGGGCUCGAAUACAAGCUCGAUACACAAGAGUCAGCGGAAGCAACAAUAUCUGAGUACAGACAUAAGUUAGACAAGGAUGCCUUAAGAAGGCAAACACAAAAACAACAACGAUGGAAGAGGCAAGGCCUCCUGCCUAGGACCUCCUAACUACUCCUGGUCGUCGGCGGUCUCCAUGUAGUAGCAUCCGGCGGUGGCAUCUGGCUCCAGGGAUCCAUCAUCUGGUUGCAACAACCGGAAAGAAGGAAGAAGGGGGGAAAGGGGGUAGCAAAGCAACCGUGAGUACUCAUCCAAAGUACUCGCAAGCAUCAGAUCUAUACUAAGUAUGCAUUGGUAUCAAAUGGAAGGGCUGUAUCUGUGGACUGAACUGCAGAAUGGCAGAAUAGAGGGGAAGGCCUAGCCUAUCGAAGACUAGCAUCUUCAAGCAGCUCCAAGCAUCUUGCAGCAUGUAGAAGAGUAAAGAAUAGCAGUUUAUAUUUAACAAACAUGUUGCAGCAUUAACGCCCAGAGAUCCUUCCUCAACUCCCUACGAGAAAGCAAUCUCGGAGCCACAUAUCUUAAGUAUCCAUUUCUAGUUGUAUUAGAUCAAGAUAUAAGUCUGAACGUCCAUUACCGUGGACACGGUAUUCGAAUAUGUAUCUUCCCUGCAGGGGUGCACCACGUUUUCCAACACGCUCGAUCACUCUGGUCGGACACACCUUUCUGGGGUCAAUGCCCGACCUCGAAAGAUUAACACGUCGUAGCCCUACCUAGGCUCAGCAGAGAGGUCCCCGCCGGUCUACAUCCUAAGCACUCUGGGGUUUGGGCCCAUCGCCCGUUGCACUCCGGAUCGUUGCGCGCAGGGCGAUACAGGCCACCUCCACUGGGGCGCCGACCAGGCCGUGCCACAAUGCUGAACUGGACGUGUAAUAAAGCUUCGGCUGAUACCACGACGUCGAGGCCCAUAACUAUUCUCGCUUGGUGGUUAGUGCGUAAAGGCCAAAGGCCAACACAGAACAAAUACCCAAACCAUAGUGUAUUAUUAGCUUGCGGAGACGAGCAGAGAAUCACGAUAAUGUGACCCCGUCGCCCCGUCUCGAGAAAAUACGGCAAGGGCUAGCCCAACCCACUCGGGGGCGGCCUGCCGGCCCGGCCAUGCCUCGUAACCAUCUUGCGGGUGCUCUCCGGGCCCGCCCGACUUUCCCAAGGGUGUCAAGUAAAGUCAAGGUAACCGUGUGUUCAAACAUCAAGGGGAAAACCUGAGGAAUCACCCCUGGAGGAUUCCACUCGAUGUAAUCAUCAAGGUGAACGUAAGAGGAUCCACCCUCGAGGUUCACACUUGAGGGGUUGCACGACAGAGUCGUAUCGGAGGUGGUUAAGGAGGAAAUCACCCUCGAUGACCACGACCGAAUAGCUACACUACAGAGUUGUCAUCGGGAGUGCGUUGUGAGGUCUCACCCUCGGCACUCGAUAGUAGCUCUGCAGAGUCGAGCAACAAAAGGGGCGUGAUGUGAUGUGAGGUGUCGGGCUCUGGUUGUCGAUCACGUUGAUCGAGUCGUCGAUGAUGAAGCAGGGGCAACAAGGACAAGGUGGGGGUCACAGAUGGAUCACUAACCAACCUAUACUAAGCCGUUUAGGAUAAGCAGGUAAGGUACAAUGAGCAGGUUACAAAAGCAGGCUAUGCAUCAGAAUAGGAGCAAUCAAUUACAGGUGCAAAAUCUAAUGCAAGCAUGAGAUAAUGGAAUGGGCGAUAUCGGGAUGAUCAAAGGGGGGGCUUGCCUGGAAGCUCCGCUGAAAGGGAAGACGGGUCGUCGUCGACGUAGUCGAUCACAACGGCAUCAGCUUCGGUCUCGGGGUCUACCGGAGAGAAGAGGGGGAAGAAACAAUAAAUAUAGAGCAAACAAGAGCAAUACUAUGCAUGACAAGACAAUAAGCAGCGUUAGGGGUGCUCUAACGCGGUGCUACACGAUACCAGCGAAGGGGGAUACCAUCCGGAAAGUUUUCCCCGAGUUAGGCAUUUUCGGAAAGAUGAAUCGGAGGGGAAAGGUUCAAUGUUCGCUAUGCUAGGGAUGUGUGGCGGAUGAACGGACCACAUAUUCGGAUUCAUCUCGUCGUUCUGAGCAACUUUCAUGUAGAAAACUUUUUCAUCUGAGUUACGGAUAAUUUUCUAUGAUUUUUCAAAGUUUUAAAUGAUUUUCUAAUUAUCUUAAUUUGAAAAUUAAGUGACUAAAUACUUUUGUCACAUGGGGCUGUGCUAGCCAGGGUGUAUGACAGUGGGCCAGGGGGAUGAGUCAGCAAGGUCAACAGUCAACAUUGACUGGGUUGACUGGUCAACUCUAGGCAGUGGGGCCUAGGUGUCAUAGACACAAGUUUAAUAGUUUUGAUAAAUGGAUAAAUAGAGGGGGUGGGGUCCACACGUAAUAGACUGGCAUUUUAAUUAAAGGGUUAUUUCAGCAGUGGGGCCACAUGCUAGUGUCUUUUAGCGGAUGUUAGUGCUAAUUAUGGGUUAGUGCCCUAACUAAUUGGGCCGGUUCCCACGCUCCAGGGACACAAGCCGUGCUUCACAUGGCUGUGUAGGCCAGGCCAUGGUGGCCAUGGUUAAGAGCGGAAGCAAUAGCAAAUACGCAGCGGCAGCAGCAUUAGGUAGCAGCGGUGGCGGCAUAGCAGCAGCGCACUUAGCAGCGGCAAGCAGCAGCGCAGCCGCAAAGCAGAGCAGCAAGCAGUAGCAAGCCGAGCAGCUCCAGCCGCACACAACAGCAUGCGCGGCCGUAGCAGAACGCAGCAACAGCAGCUGAGCAGCGGCGGCAGUCACGGGCGCGCAACGAGGAAGCGGCCAGGCACGGGCUCGCAGGGGCAGGGCAUGCUGGAGGACGCGGCCGGCACAAUCGGGGCCCCAGCAGCCGCAGGCGUGAGCGGGGCGGCCGGGGGCACGCGGUCAAGGAACAGACAAGGCGCGCGGCUGUAGGCGAGCAGCGGCGUGGCUAUGGGCGGCGGGGAGCAGCUCGCGGCGCGCGCGACACAAGGGCACACGCGGAACACGGGCGACGAGCGGGACGGCAGCAGGAGGGCGCGGACGGGCGCAAGUGACCGGGGUGAGCGAGAGCUCGGCCGAAGCUCGAGCGGCGCAGGACGACGAGGCUACGACAGGAGCUAACCUACGGGGCACGGGAAGAAACUAGGGGAGGUCAAGGAGGAUCCGAGGCUCACAGCGCAGCUCGAGGAGGGCUCGACGAGGCCGGGGACGGUCGGUGACGAGCGGAUCGAUGCGGUGGAUGACGGCGGCCGAAGUUGAAGAAGAAGCUUGAUCCCGACGGUAUGGUCGAGUCCGGCUGGAUCCAAUGGAUGAAGGUGAAGAGGCGAACGACGGAGGAGCUUCUGAACACGACCGCAGGGCGCCGUGACGAUGAUGGUCGCGGCAAUGGUGGCGGUGUUCGCGGUCACCGCACAAGUUUAGGAGCUCGUUUUCGAGCAGAUGAGGGGGCACGGUGGGGGAAUGAGAGGGGAUCGAUCGAG
rnacentral:lncRNA from 1 species